UAGGGAAUAUUGGGCAAUGGGCGAGAGCCUGACCCAGCCAUGCCGCGUGCAGGAAGAAGGCUUUCUGAGUCGUAAACUGCUUUUGACAGGGAAGAAUAAGCACUACGUGUAGUGUGCUGACGGUACCUGCAGAAUAAGCACCGGCUAACUCCGUGCCAGCAGCCGCGGUAAUACGGAGGGUGCGAGCGUUGUCCGGAUUUAUUGGGUUUAAAGGGUGCGUAGGCGGCCUUGUAAGUCCGGGGUGAAAGCCCGUUGCUCAGCAACGGAACUGCCCUGGAUACUGCAAGGCUUGAGUACAGACGAGGUUGGCGGAAUGGACCGAGUAGCGGUGAAAUGCAUAGAUACGGUCCAGAACCCCGAUUGCGAAGGCAGCUGACUAGGCUGUUACUGACGCUGAGGCACGACAGCGUGGGGAGCGAAC
rnacentral:rRNA from 1 species